rnacentral:rRNA from 1 species
ACACUCCUACGGGAGGCAGCAGUGGGGAAUAUUGCACAAUGGGCGCAAGCCUGAUGCAGCCAUGCCGCGUGUAUGAAGAAGGCCUUCGGGUUGUAAAGUACUUUCAGCGGGGAGGAAGGCGAUAAGGUUAAUAACCUUGUUGAUUGACGUUACCCGCAGAAGAAGCACCGGCUAACUCCGUGCCAGCAGCCGCGGUAAUACGGAGGGUGCAAGCGUUAAUCGGAAUUACUGGGCGUAAAGCGCACGCAGGCGGUCUGUCAAGUCGGAUGUGAAAUCCCCGGGCUCAACCUGGGAACUGCAUUCGAAACUGGCAGGCUAGAGUCUUGUAGAGGGGGGUAGAAUUCCAGGUGUAGCGGUGAAAUGCGUAGAGAUCUGGAGGAAUACCGGUGGCGAAGGCGGCCCCCUGGACAAAGACUGACGCUCAGGUGCGAAAGCGUGGGGAGCAAACAGGAUUAGAUACCCUUGUAGUCCCAUGA